GGACUGGUUAGCUCAGUGGGUUGAGCGCAGUGCUGACAACAACAAGAACACUGAGUUUGCGGGUUCAAUUCCCGCUCGGUCCC
rnacentral:tRNA from 1 species